GAAAUGUCAUUUUAUGAUUUUGGACCAUAGCCAGACUGGUUCGAGAUGGCAGGAUGGCUAUAAUAACCACUCUUUAUGACCAUGGUGAGCAGAAAUGCAUCUCUAUAUGUGCGAGAUGUCAAACCUUGGGGUGGAUGGGCUCAAACAGCAGAAGACUACAUGAGGUUCCACUUCUAUCAGCCAUAAAACAGGAGUACAGGUGUACAGGUGUUCCUGAUAAAGUAAUCAGUGAGUUUAUAUACAUUAGGUUACUGGUUCCCAAGCCUAGUUGCCGAGUAUCUCUAUUUAGGAAGAGUGUGUUUAUUAGUUAAUUAGCUUGAACAGGUGUGAGAGCAGGGAAAACAGCAAAAAAAGGCAGGACCAGUGGGGAUGUGCCUCAGAUUCCUGUUCUUGGCUAACAGUAUUGAAGCUCGAUGCAGUCUUCUUCUGUGGUAGCCCAUCCACCUCAAGGUUCGACGUGUUACGUGUUCUGAGAUGCUUUCCAACUCACCGUAGUUGUAAAUUCUGACUAUUUGAGUUACUGUAGCCUUCCUGUCAGCUUGAACCAGUCUGGCCGUUUUCCUCUGACUUCUCUUAUCAACAAGGCGUUUCUGCUAGCGGAACUGCCGCUCAAGGGAUGUUUUUUGUCCUUUGCACCAUUCCGUGUAAACUGUGUAAGACUCUUGUGUGUGAAAAUCCCAGGAGAUCAGCAGUUUCUUAAAUACUCAAACCAGCCCAUCUGGCACCUACAACCAUGCUAUGGUCAAAGUCACUCAAAUCAUUCUGAUGUUUGAUGUGAAUAUUAACUGAAGAUUUUGACCUGUAUCUGUAUGAUUAUUAUGCAUUGCGCUGCUGCAGCAUGGUCGGCUGAUUGAAUAAUUGGAUGUGAAGACAGUGAGUGUAUUUGUGUCCUAUGCAUCAUCAUUAAUAAUACUUUCAGUCAAUGUUAACAACCUUUUUUAUUAUUAUUUAUUUAUUUAUUUAUUUUACACUUACUAGUUUAAAAACAAAAAUAUUAGAAAUGUCAUUUGUAAUCCUUGAUCUGGGUGGAGUGUAUGAUCAGUGGAUACAUUAAUCACUAUAACCACACGAUGGCAGCAUUGGGCAGCACAUAUUUGGACGAGAUUUGCAGUUGGAAAUGAUUCUAGUUGUACGAGUGAGAACAAACCUGUUCGAUUUCUCUGCUGUAAAAUACUUUUUUAGUAUUAGUAUUUUAGUACAGACAUCUGUAGGCUUUCUCAUGACUUGAAAUGCUUGGAUAUGCUUUAAUGCAGGAGUGAUCUUGGGUUUAAUUAAAAGUUUUAAUGAGAUUAUUCUUAUUUUAGUAUGGGAAGCAGAAUGCAGCACAGGUGUUGUUUAAAUAACUGUUAAUUAAAAAAGUUGUCUCAAUCUCCAGGUGGCUUUAUUCCCUUGCGAAACAAAGUAUCACCUAUCAGUAAUCUGGUCAAAUCACAGUUGUAGACCAUGAAUGGUCCCAAACCUUGGGGUCUAGCAGUGAAGACUGGUGAAGUAGAAUGUGGUGGUAGGACGAGAAAUUCAAGCCUUGACCCUGCUUGCUGUAAAGGUCAGACAGCUGUAGCUGACACUCCCCACUGACUUCAAUAACAACUUUAGCAAGCUGACCUCGUGCAUUCUUAUUUACUAAAUUCAAAUUUCCUUACCAGGCCGCAAUACAAAAAGGACAAGACAAGGACAGUAACCAGGAUCUGUCAUUUCAGUUUGAUUCACUAUUCUGCCUGUCAGUGGAUCACUCUGCUUUCCUUCAUUUUCCAGGCUGGAAUUUAUCUGAAUUUUAUCUUCAGCUAGAACAGAGAUGCCCAUCCCUGUCCCUGAUGAAAGAUGUCAAGACUGUUCAAAACCUGCAAGAGAAAGACAGGAUGUCAGAGUUGGACUCAGGAGAAAGAGACAAGCAUGGCGAAAUGUCUCAGCCUGACAGCUUGAUGUCUGAACAGGGAAGCUUGUACUGUAUCAGGGAAUCUGGAGCUAGAAAUGAUCGGAUGAGGUCGGAUCCAGACGUUUGUCUUUACUUUACACCUUACCGAAUUCACUCAAAUCUAAGCUUUUAAGCGUGAACACGAGCUUUCCAGCCUACGUAGAAUCAAACACUAAAUUCUGAUAUGGUCUCUUAUGGCCUUAAAUUAAACCAUGCCUAUAAGCAUGGAACGUACCGGUCUAAUUUCUAAAAGCGCAGUCUAUGUCUUCCUAGUCAUUGGAGAUUAUUUAUACCCAAUCCCUUGACAUAAUCAGUGGGAGCAAACAGCAAAAAAAUGUGUGUGUGUGUGUGGUUUUUUUUUAACAGCAGAGUGGGAGAUAGUAAAAUAAUCAGCAAUAAGGAAUAACAAUGGCUUUACCACCACCAAAGUGGUCUGAGUUUCAUUCCUCAUACCUCUCCAUGCAAUUACAUUUAAACUAAGACUAAAAAAAAAAGAAUUAUGAAUAAAUAAAAUAAUUUAAAAAAACCCCGUCAUGUCAGAGUUUUUAUCCAUUUAUGCUUACUGUUUUUGAAUGUCUGCAAAACAAGUUAUCAUUUAGGUUAUAGCAGCUCUAAACAGUCUUAUUCUCGCCAGCCUCGUGUUACCGAGAAGCCAAAAAGCACAUAGUCCUCUGUUCUGAAUGUGCUAACACUGAAGAAUCCUUUCUUAAAUGUUCCCACAACCUUUUUAAUGAUCUCUUAAAUACAAACAUGCAAAACAUUCCUCAACAAAUGAUCAUUUCAUCCCAAAUUUGACCAAAUGAUUAUAAGUAUACAGUAUAUUCAUACAUCAAAUGAUAUUUAUACACCAAAUUAUAUUUAUACACCAAAUUAUGAGCAAAAUGCAAAUUUCAAGGGUUGAAUCAACAAUAAUAAAAAAAAAAAAUCGGACACCUAAAUCCAUAAGAAGAAACAGAAACUGGUCAACAUUUCAUCUACGCUAGCCUCUUAGCCAGGGCUAGUUUGUAAUCACAAUAGUAAAAAAUCAAGGUAAAAUUGGUAAACUAACUACAUGUAUGAUAUGGGGUGAUUUAGAUCAAAAUCAUGACCUUCACGUCCUCCUCAUCUUAUAUUUGUAUAAAUAAAUACAUCAGCUGAGGAGAAACUUCGACAUCCAGUGCCAAUGGAUUACUAGCAUAUCUUUACCCUUUUCCAGAUCUAUAUGUCAUUUAUAUUUUGCACUCUCAUUUUUUUUCAUGAGUGGAAAAUUCAUCCGUACAUUUACAUCCAGGAUUUCCAGCAUGCCUGAGAACCCUGUGUUCUCACAUUUGAGGAAUUGUGCUGCUGGAAUACGACAACCGUUUCACCUAACAUUUAACUCGUUUUGGUGCAACCAUUAAUCUUUUAAACCAUCCACCAUCUAGUGAUGGACAUGAGGACACUGUAUGACUGUUACUUUAGCGCUUGUUUGAAUUAUUUCAACGUACACCCAUGCGCUUAAAUGAGAGCUAGAAGGAAACGCUCUUUAUAGGAGAUACAGGAAGUUUGAUCCUUUCACGCACAUAAGUCCGUACUUAUGGACAGUCAAUUUAAGGCUGUUUUUGGGGAAUAUAUAUAUAUAUAAACGUUUGAGAAACCAUCACUGCAAUUGAUCAUGAAUCAUUAUUCUGAUUUCUGUUUCUCUUUAGACUAGUUGUCAUUCUCAAUGCAGCACAUGUCUCUGGUAUAUCUUUAAAAACCUUUGACGCAAAAUUACGUGAGAAAAAAAUAAUUUGGGCCAGGCUUGUGCCAAUGAAUAUCUGAUAUUAAUUACUGAAGAUUUUCUUUAACCGCAGACAUCAGCUUUGUCAGGCAACCUUUCUCCAUCAAGAAUAUUGUUCCAAAAUGCUGUUUUCGAUCAUUUUCUAUAUUUUGCUCGUCACUGAAUGCUAACACCUUUUGUUUAUAAACAUAUUGUAAGCUUUCUUGUUGUUGUUUGUUUGUCUGUUUUCAAGUUUUAUCCUUUUUCCCCCAUCUUAAACAUGGACAAUCUAUUUACUUUUUAAUUCAAAUAAAAUGUUUUUUUUUUUAAAAAGAUA